rnacentral:rRNA from 1 species
GUGGAUUAGAUACCCUAGUAGUCCACGCCGUAAACGAUGGAUACUAGCUGUAGGAGGUAUCGACCCCUUCUGUAGCGAAGCUAACGCGUUAAGUAUCCCGCCUGUGGAGUACGGCCGCAAGGCUAAAACAUAAAGGAAUUGACGGGGACCCGCACAAGCGGUGGAUCGUGUUCUUUAAUUCGAUGAUAAACGAAGAACCUUACCAGGGCUUGACAUCCAGGGAAAGACUGCGAAAGUAGUCUGUGCCUUUUGGAACCCGGUGACAGGUGAUGCACGGUCGUCGCCAGCU